CUGGUCGAGCGUCUCUGCGCGGAAAAUUUAACGGGGCUAAGAUACAAACCGAAGCUUAGGCUGCAUCGUAAGAUGCGGGGUAGGGGAGCGUUGUGUAAGCGGAGAAACAGUAGCGUAAGCGGCUGUGGAGUUUACAGAAGUGAGAAUGCCGGAAUGAGUAGCGCGAAUGUGGUGAGAAUCCACAUGGCCGGAAACCUCAGGUUUUUGGAGGAAGGUUCGUCCGCUCCAAGUUAGGCGGGAGCUAAGGUCAGGCCGCAAGGCGUAGCCGAUGCACAGACGGUAGAGAUUCCGUCCCCACCGAAAGAUUUAAGCACAGGGACACUUUUAGAAGGUCGGAGCCAGGUGUUGGUUCUGGUAGUGAUCGAGGGAAAUUUAGUACCGAAGUCCGGCUGGAUGAGAGGCGAGAAAAGCUGUGUGUAUAUCUAAGGUGCCCGUACCGCAAACCGACACAGGUAGGUAGGAAGAAGAUUCUAAGGCCAACGGGAGAAGGGUUGUUAAGGAACUCGGCAAAUUGACCCCGUAACUUCGGGAGAAGGGGUGCUCCAGAGAUGGAGCCGCAGAGAAUCGGCCCAAGCAACUGUUUACCAAAAACACAGGUUUGUGCUAAAUCGAAAGAUGACGUAUACGAGCUGACGCCUGCCCGGUGCUGGAAGGUUAAAAGGAGAUGUGCAAGCAUUGAAUUGAAGCCCCAGUGAACGGCGGCCGUAACUAUAACGGUCCUAAGGUAGCGAAAUUCCUUGUCAGGUAAGUUCUGACCCGCAUGAAAGGCGUAAUGAUCUGGGCACUGUCUCAACAGCCCGCCCGGCGAAAUUGUAGUACCGGUGAAGAUGCCGGUUACCCGCGACAAGACGGAAAGACCCCAUGGAGCUUUACUGUAGCCUGAUAUUGGGUUUCGGUGUUGCAUGCACAGGAUAGAUGGGACGCUGGGAAAGAAGCGCUUUGGCGUUUCUGGAGCGGACGUUGGGAUACCAUCCUUGCGACAUUGGAAUUCUAACCUGCGCCUCUGAAUCGAGGCGGGGGACAUUGUCAGGUGGGCAGUUUGACUGGGGCGGUCGCCUCCUAAAAAGUAGCGGAGGCGUUCAAAGGUUCGUUCGAUCUGGACGGAAACCAGAUGAAUGAGUGCAAACGCAUAAACGAGCCUGACUGCGAGACUGACGGGUCGAGCAGAGACGAAAGUCGGAGUUAGUGAUCCGGUGGUAUGUGAGUGGAAAUGCCAUCGCUCAACGGAUAAAAGUUACCCUGGGGAUAACAGGCU
rnacentral:rRNA from 1 species